GGUAAUCGAGCAGAAAUGUUAGGAAAGUCCAUGCUAGCACAGGCUGUGAUGCCUGUAGUGUUUGCGCUGGUUUAAUAAAUAAGGCCAGGCACCUUAUGGUGACGGCGAAUCUAGCCUAAGUCUAUGAUAUGGUAAGGAUUCAUAAAGUGCCACAGAAACGAUACUUUUGGAAACAAAAGGGUGAAACGUUGGUAAACCCCACAAGCUAGAAACCCAAAUUUUGGUAGGGGAGUCUCCAAGGCCGAAUAAGAAGGCAUGAGGAGGAAGGGAAACCUUAGAUAAAUGAUUACCGCUCUUAUGAGUACGGAACAUGGCUUAUAG
rnacentral:RNase_P_RNA from 1 species